ensembl:lncRNA
AGCACUGACGACCAACUGGAAACACCGGUCUUGGACCCACUGAAGCUGUCCUGGUUCUGGUUGUCACUCUGGUUCUGCUCAUUUAGCUUCAGGUCCAGCCAUGCCACUCUCUUCCUGGCCCCGCUCUUCUCAGGUGUUGCUCGCUCGGGGACCGAUGACUCUCCGCCUCCUCCAUCCCUACCCCCGGCCCGUUGGACGAGGCAGUUCUUCUUCCCUCUCCCCUCUUCCACAUCCCUUGUUCUGUCUUCAUACUUCGGUCUUUCUCGAGCGAGAGGACGCCGGCUGAGCUGGGGGCUGGACACACGAGAGGUCAUAGGGGAGAGGAUGGGGGACAACAUGGGGGACAUGCUGUCAACGCUACUGGGGCUAUGCGAGGUGUCCAAGAGAGAGAGAGAAAAGGGACACUUCCAUUCUCUCAUUGACUCAAAGGUUGUUGUGUUGUCACAGGCGAGAUCAGAGCGGUUGGUGGGGCGGCUGUGGGAUUUCCAUGGGGAAGUGUUCUUUGGGGGCGUGACGUCAUAGGUCCAGGUGGAUUCUGUAAACUCCUCUCUACACCUCACGGUUUCCCAGUCCUCGUCCUCCCCCAGGCCUUCCAUUCUCAGGGCUCUCCGCAGGCUCUGGCUCAAAGCCUCACCCAGGGCACGGAGUUCCUCAGCUGGAAGAGGAUCUUCCCGAGUGCUCCCCCAAUCCUGGAGCUCUGGCAGGGUUUGGGGUUGGGGCAGCGUCCCAGGAGGAGGUUGGACAGCAGCCUGGGGCAGCGUCCCAGGUGGAUGUUGGACAGCGGCCUGGGGCAGGGUUCCGGGUGGAGGUUGGACAGCGGCCUGGGUCAGGGUCUCAGAGAUACACCCAUCAGGCAAAGAGGUAAACAGACCAAACACACUUUCCAAUCUCUCUUCAGUCUCCUCUUCGGUAGAGUCAGCGCUUGUCAGACCGACCCUCCGAACAAUCCCCUCCACCUCGCCAAUUUUCCCCAUUACACCCCAGGCAGCAUUGCCGCCCUCCUCCCCCACUCUGCACCCCUCCUGGCUGGGGCUCAGGGUCCGGGCCGUCCCGCCUUCUGGAGACUGCCUGGUGCAUUCCCGGGAGACCAGCGCUUCGUUGUCAUACUCCGAAUGCUCUCCGUCAGAUUCAGUGUUCGCCGGUGUUCCUUUUAGGGUCAGGACAUCCCUGGGAUGGUGAGAACGGCAGUGGUACUCAAACGGGAGCACCUUGUUCGGGCAACCAGAUCUAUUCUCACAAAGAACCGCCCUGAGGGAAUCCUGAACAGGGCUGUAGGGCCUGCCGUACGGCCUCUGCACUCCCCAAGUAAGGUUUGAACUUCUGGGUAUCACUGCUGUCCCUUUGCCUGGAAUUGACUCUGUCUUCCCUUUCUCUUCUUCUUGCACGCCUUUCUUCUUUCUCUUGGUGACACAGAAGACGGAGACACCACAAGACGGAUACGAUGGUCUCGGCUCCCGCGCUCCCCACUGGGGGCACUCGUUGACCGGCUGUCCGCUCCUCAUCCACAGCCUCUUCGGCCUCCUUCUCCUGGAGGUGCCGGCUGAGUGUGGGGUCCCCGUGGACCGGGUGACGGUGUCCAGGAGGCUACGGGUGUGGCUCAGCACCUCAGCGCUCCGCCUCCUGGUCCCCUGGUUUUCUGUCGGGGGUCUAGACAAACAGUCAAAUUCGCUGUCUGCAGAGGCCAGACGCAUGAGCCUCCCUCCCUGGUUCCCCAUCCCGAUCCUGGCCUUGCAAUCUGAGCAGAGGGGUGAAAGGUGGAGGUCUGCCAACCAGCGGAGCUCAGAGCCUGACGACGAUCUGAAACCGGCCCCCUUCAUGCUCUGCUUGACACUUUGCUUCUCCCUUUUAAACCCACGUUCUUCAGCCUCAAGUGAACCUGUCUCGGUUGGCGCCUCCUCUCGUGGAUGGCAGGCUGUGAUUGGGAGGCCUUUAGGGGAGGCGGCGGUCUUGUGGGUGGGGCCAUCAGGACCCUUACAUAUGGGCAUGGGACCCUUGGGGUGGUGGUUUGGGGUGAAUGCGUGCAAGGGGCCCCUGCGGGUGGGGAUGGUGUCGGAGAGGAGGAAGGGGCUCCCGGGGGGAUAGAUUGGUCUCAGGGGAAGAUGUGCACGGGGCUCCUGGAAUGGCCUCACCAGGCUCCUCUCCAUGAUUGGCGGAUACAGAUACAGAGUGCUAUGGGUCCCUUCCAUCAUACCUGUCGCUGUAGAAGCAGCCAACAUCCUGUAUGGAGAUCCGGCGAAAUGUGUCCUGAAGUGUCAAGCUUUCAGAUCAUCGGUUUAGGUCAU